CGGGUUGCAGCAGUAGGGAAUCUUCGGCAAUGGGGGGAACCCUGACCGAGCAACGCCGCGUGAGUGAAGAAGGUUUUCGGAUCGUAAAGCUCUGUUGUAAGAGAAGAACGGGUGUGAGAGUGGAAAGUUCACACUGUGACGGUAUCUUACCAGAAAGGGACGGCUAACUACGUGCCAGCAGCCGCGGUAAUACGUAGGUCCCGAGCGUUGUCCGGAUUUAUUGGGCGUAAAGCGAGCGCAGGCGGUUAGAUAAGUCUGAAGUUAAAGGCUGUGGCUUAACCAUAGUAUGCUUUGGAAACUGUUUAACUUGAGUGCAGAAGGGGAGAGUGGAAUUCCAUGUGUAGCGGUGAAAUGCGUAGAUAUAUGGAGGAACACCGGUGGCGAAAGCGGCUCUCUGGUCUGUAACUGACGCUGAGGCUCGAAAGCGUGGGGAGCAAACAGGAUUAGAUACCCGAGU
rnacentral:rRNA from 1 species